rnacentral:rRNA from 1 species
AGAGUUUGAUUAUGGCUCAGAUUGACGCUGGGCGGCAGCCCUAACACAUGCAGUUCGAACGUUAACAGAAAGCAGCUUGCUGCUUUGCUGACGAGUGGCGGACGGGUGAGUAAUGUCUGGGAAACUGCCUGAUGGAGGGGGAUAACUACUGGAAACGGUAGCUAAUACCGCAUAACGUCGCAAGACCAAAGAGGGGGACCUUCGGGCCUCUUGCCAUCGGAUGUGCCCAGAUGGGAUUAGCUAGUAGGUGGGGUAACGGCUCACCUAGGCGACGAUCCCUAGCUGGUCUGAGAGGAUGACCAGCCACACUGGAACUGAGACACGGUCCAGACUCCUACGGGAGGCAGCAGUGGGGAAUAUUGCACAAUGGGCGCAAGCCUGAUGCAGCCAUGCCGCGUGUAUGAAGAAGGCCUUCGGGUUGUAAAGUACUUUCAGCGGGGAGGAAGGGAGUAAAGUUAAUACCUUUGCUCAUUGACGUUACCCGCAGAAGAAGCACCGGCUAACUCCGUGCCAGCAGCCGCGGUAAUACGGAGGGUGCAAGCGUUAAUCGGAAUUACUGGGCGUAAAGCGCACGCAGGCGGUUUGUUAAGUCAGAUGUGAAAUCCCCGGGCUCAACCUGGGAACUGCAUCUGAUACUGGCAAGCUUGAGUCUCGUAGAGGGGGGUAGAAUUCCAGGUGUAGCGGUGAAAUGCGUAGAGAUCUGGAGGAAUACCGGUGGCGAAGGCGGCCCCCUGGACGAAGACUGACGCUCAGGUGCGAAAGCGUGGGGAGCAAACAGGAUUAGAUACCCUGGUAGUCCACGCCGUAAACGAUGUCGACUUGGAGGUUGUGCCCUUGAGGCGUGGCUUCCGGAGCUAACGCGUUAAGUCGACCGCCUGGGGAGUACGGCCGCAAGGUUAAAACUCAAAUGAAUUGACGGGGGCCCGCACAAGCGGUGGAGCAUGUGGUUUAAUUCGAUGCAACGCGAAGAACCUUACCUGGUCUUGACAUCCACGGAAGUUUUCAGAGAUGAGAAUGUGCCUUCGGGAACCGUGAGACAGGUGCUGCAUGGCUGUCGUCAGCUCGUGUUGUGAAAUGUUGGGUUAAGUCCCGCAACGAGCGCAACCCUUAUCCUUUGUUGCCAGCGGUCCGGCCGGGAACUCAAAGGAGACUGCCAGUGAUAAACUGGAGGAAGGUGGGGAUGACGUCAAGUCAUCAUGGCCCUUACGACCAGGGCUACACACGUGCUACAAUGGCGCAUACAAAGAGAAGCGACCUCGCGAGAGCAAGCGGACCUCAUAAAGUGCGUCGUAGUCCGGAUUGGAGUCUGCAACUCGACUCCAUGAAGUCGGAAUCGCUAGUAAUCGUGGAUCAGAAUGCCACGGUGAGUACGUUCCCGGGCCUUGUACACACCGCCCGUCACACCAUGGGAGUGGGUUGCAAAAGAAGUAGGUAGCUUAACCUUCGGGAGGGCGCUUACCACUUUGUGAUUCAUGACUGGGGUGAAGUCGUAACAAGGU